rnacentral:piRNA from 1 species
CAGGAGGAAAAGGGCAACUGUGG